rnacentral:lncRNA from 1 species
UUUCAUACUAUUGAAUUUGGCAAAAGUCAAUACAAAAUUAAUACAAUUAACUUAAAAAUAUUUUUUUAAAUUUAAAUUUCUAGCAAAUAGAUUUAAGAAUAAUAUUCAAUAUUCUUUAAGAAUAAUAUUCAAUAUUUUGAAUUAUCGAUACUUUUAAUCUCAAUUUAAUUUAGUACUAAUUGGUGCACAAUAAUUUUGGUUAAUCCGUAUUUAGCUAACACAAAUAGAUUAGACGGUUUUCCUACAUGUGAACAUGCAGGUUGCCCAUGAGAAAAACAUGGAUAUUCCAAAUCUAAACCACAAAUGGACAUUGAUUUGCCUUGAGAUUUAUUUAUCGUCAUUGCAAAAGCUAAACGAACUGGAAAUUGUAGUAUCCGAUGGUAUCAUUGGAUUACGUUGCAACAGGACCACUUCACCUAUAAACUUUCCAGAUAAUAUGGUUCCUUCAAGAAUAUUUCCGCUGAUAUUUUUGAUAGCCAAACUCGCACUAUUGCAUAAACGAGGUGGAUUCAAAUUAAGAAGGAGAAAAAUAGGUGAACAUCCUUUUAUCGAAGAUUGAGUGGCGGCAUUUCGGAACGGUAUCGAUUGAUUUAAAAGAUAUCAGAUCGCCUGGUAACAACAGUUGUAUUUGGAAGUUAAUUUCGUCAACAUCAACAUUUUUGGCUGCCAAAAUCAACACAGUGCAGUGCAGAAGUUUGGCAUAAUAGAAGGUAACAAAAAAUAAAAUGGUGUUUGGCGUAGAAAAUGUGAAGUUCGCAGACGGUACGCAGUGUAAAACGUGUAUGAAAAGUAAAAUCGGCGUCUGAAAAUCGAGUAAAACAAUUGUUGGAGCUAGUUCAUACCGACGUAUGCGGCCCAUUUGAAAAACGUUCUCUUGGUGGCUCAUCAUAUUUUUUAACAUUCAUCGACGGCGUAUUUUCACAUUUUUUCUCAAGUCUAAAGAUGAGGUGUUUGAAAAUUUCGUAACUUUCAAGAAAAUGGUCGAAUGCCACACUGGGCGGAAUAUCAAAGUUUUACGGAGCGACAACGGCCGAGAAUACAUCAACAACCGUUUCGAUGACUUUCUAAAAUAACAGGGCAUAACGCGUAAGCUGACGGUACCCUACAGAACGGCGUCGUAGAACGAGGGAACCGCACUCUUGUUGAGAUGACAAGAAGUUUACUUGUACACUCAAAUAUGCCAGAGUUUCUAUGGGCAGAGGCGGUGCAGACAGCGUGCUAUAUCCGCAACAGAUCGCUAACUGCAUCGUUGAUUGGCUUGGAGCGGUAGAAAACCGAAUGUAAAAAUAUGCGUACAUUUGGGUCCGUGGCCGUUGGCUUAGACAAAACGAAACAGAAACAAAAAACAGAACGAAAAAAAUUCCAUGCGAAAGGUAAAGAGUACAGAUUCGUUGGGUACUCCUUGGCAUCAAAAGCUUACAGACUCUACUAUCAAGAGAAGCAACAAAUUGUAGAAAAACGUGAUGUUUUGUUUUAUGAGCGUUUCAACGAAUCCCAGUCAGAUGAUCAAAUCAUUUUUGAUGUAUUACCAGAAAUUUUGCCAGCUUAUUCAAAUCCUAAUGAAGAAACAUUUAUCCCGUGCAGAAGUGAAAUUAAUCAGGAGAAACGUAUGUAUAAUGAAGAAAGCGACGAACACGGCAGUGCAGAUGAGCCAGAGCUGGAGCAGAAACAUAAGAUAGGACCAGGUAGACCAAGAAUUAUUCGGAGCCUGGUAUACCGCCGAAGAAGAGCUACAAUGUUAUACAGGCAGUGCAAUCUGUAGAGAUACCAUUAUCACAGAUGUUUAACCUUUAACUGGUGACAAGCGGUCUCACAGGCCGAGCGGAGUCAGUGAAACAUCAUUUGACCCCCUUUCCCGCGCUUCCUUUGUUUCAACGUCCCAGUAGCUUCGAGUUUAGUUGCGUCCACGCCGUACAGUGGGACAGUUGCGUCGUAUUGUCUCAUAUCGGUAAGUUACAUCGACAUAAACUUCGGCAAGGGCCUCUCAGACCUUACGUCACCACUUGUGUAAUUUUUUAAUAUAAUUUUGCUUUAUUGUUUUUUCGUAUUUUUACAGUUAUUAUUCCAUUAUACUAUAUAUCAUGAGCAAUAAUUGACACCAAGAAUGGAGUGGGGUCGCGAGUUUCGGCUGAAAACUAUAAAAAAAGAAACAAUACCAUACAAUUCAUAAUAAAAGAUCACGGCUUUUUGAUUAACGUUUUUCAAAUAUUUCGCAUUUAUAGCAAUGAAUACCAGAAAGAUUGAGUCUCGUAAAAGCAAAAAAAAAAAAAAAAAAAAUACAUUUCAAGUGAAUAUCUUUUACAUAUUUUUGGUUUAUGAUGAAAGUAAUUAGAUGUCUGUGGGUACCAAGUUUUGUAACUAUUUAAAAAGGGAUGUUAACAACAUCCAACCAUUAUAUGUGAUUAUGUUAAUUUUGGGCGUUUUAAUUUAAAUACCCAAAAACUAAUAUUUUUUUUUACCUAACUACAAUGCAAAAUUAUAUACAAAAGACUAAUUUUGAGGCGCUCUCACACUGGAAUAGCGUAUAGAUUAGAAUAAUUGAGAAUUUGAGGUAAAGUUACCGAUUUAUUUAAGGAUGCUGCUUUGGCGUUAACAAGCGGUAAAAGCGCGAUGCUUAAUGCUUUUAUUUAGGUACCUGGUAGAAUACAAGAUUAUACUAACCGCCAUGUUGUAAUUUUUUGGUAAAUCCACUAACUUGUCCGUUAUAUAUCAUGUUAAUGAAUCAGAAGAUGCGGAUGCGGCAUAGUGAUUACCGCUAUUUCACCGUCGGUGAUUUUUUCACUGCAGUUCAUUCUAUGAAUUCCGAUAGCAGUCUGAUUCUGUGAAUCACGAUGAUGAUAACUGUUCACAAAAAACCUUGCGAAAUGCAAUUUUUUAACAGUACAGUAUAAUAGGAAUAUUUAUGAGCACGGAAUACUUAUU